AAUAACUAAAAAUAUGAUGCUCGGGCAAAGAGUCAAGUCGGUAAGUUUUCUUACAUCUCCCCCUCCCGGAGCCCAGGUGCCAUAUACGCUCCCCAAAUAAGAGUCUUGAUUACUAGAAGAGAAGAACAUAUACCUAACAAGAUUAAUUGAAUACAUCAUUUUAUUUCGAUCUUUCCA
rnacentral:antisense_RNA from 1 species